AUUGAACGCUGGCGGAAUGCUUUACACAUGCAAGUCGAACGGCAGCACGGACUUCGGUCUGGUGGCGAGUGGCGAACGGGUGAGUAAUACAUCGGAACGUGCCCAAUCGUGGGGGAUAACGUAGCGAAAGCUACGCUAAUACCGCAUACGAUCUAAGGAUGAAAGCGGGGGAUCGCCAGACCUCGCGCGAUUGGAGCGGCCAAUGGCAGAUUAGGUAGUUGGUAGGGUAAAGGCCUACCAAGCCGACGAUCUGUAGCUGGUCUGAGAGGAUGAUCAGCCACACUGGGACUGAGACACGGCCCAGACUCCUACGGGAGGCAGCAGUGGGGAAUUUUGGACAAUGGACGCAAGUCUGAUCCAGCCAUUCCGCGUGCAGGAUGAAGGCCCUCGGGUUGUAAACUGCUUUUGUACAGAACGAAAAGGCUCUGGUUAAUACCUAGGGCUCAUGACGGUACUGUAAGAAUAAGCACCGGCUAACUACGUGCCAGCCGCCGCAGUAA
rnacentral:rRNA from 1 species